CGAUCCGUACAGUCAUUGGUCAACUGUGAUGCGUAGACGUCCAUAUCAGCCAAUCACAAGCCUCUUCACCCUCCCCACACUGAGCGCGUGCUCGAACUAGCCUUUAAAAAGCAGCGGUGUAACGCGCAUCUGCAUUUCUUGUGAAGAACAGUAAAGAGAUUGUUUAAGUCACGGUAAGAAUCAAACAGACCGCUCGUAAAUCCGUCGGUGGAAAAGCCCCGAAGAAGCAGCUCACUACUAAAUCCGCCCGUCAGAGCGCUCCAGCCACCGGUGGAGUCAAGAAACUUCAUCGUUACAGACCCGGUACCGUGGCUCUGAGAGAGAUCUGCCGUUAUCAGAAGUUUACUGAGCUGCUUCAGUCCCACUGACAGAUCAUUUCCGGUCUGGUUUUAUUAUAGGUGAUAUCAGAGGUUAUUUUAACUCUUGUAUGUUUAGUGGAUACAUCAAGUUAACUGAAAAUUAAAUAACAAAAGUUUUUUUAUUUUUUUUAUGUGCAUUUUUUCGUGUCCAUUGGUAACAACAAUAAUAAAGAGCGGAAGAGGAAGUUAGAGGAAUAAAGGAACUGAAUCAUGUUGGUGAUGGUAGUUGUCAAUCACGAGGCGAUGGGCGGGACUAACAUUUAGAAGCUCCUGAUUGGCUGUUCUGAAUUUCAAAGAAAGCUUCAGGGGUUUACCCAUAAAGACAAACAAUCACAGAGAGCCUUUUGUCCCUUUUGAAAUUAGCAUAAACGAGCUUAUAAAUACACGUGAAUUUUCGUUAAAUGUUUGUUUACUCGAUUGUGAAAACAUUCCGGAACCAGUGAAGUCCGCACCGAAGAAAGGAUCCGAGAAGACCGUCAGUAAAACCGCCGGUAAAGGAGGAAAGAAGCGCAAGAGGUCCCGGAAGGAGAGUUCCGUUAUCUACGUGCAGACCUGCUAACCUGUACGCAUUUCAACAUCAAAGUUCGCUGGUAAGAUUUGUCACUCUAAACUACGCAAAAAGCUGGUGACGCCUUUGUGUUCAAUUGUGCUCGUGCAGUACUCUAGUCUUACAGCAGGAGGCGCUAGCGUCUAGUCUGCCGAAAAACAAAAGAAGAAGAAGAGUUCGACCAAUCAGAGCGCUGGGUUCAUUCCCCCAAAUAUCGAGCGGGGAUGAUUGACAAAUACGUAAUGUUAAUCUUUUAAAGAGACUGCAAAUCGACAGCAACACGAAAUAGGUUUUAUAACGGUAAGUUACAUGUUUGAUGUGUCGCAGACUGUUUAACGUGACUUUUCUUAAUACUGUAUUCAUAAUUAUUAUUGUAUCCAAACUCGUCACUGUAAUGAGAGGAGCAGAUCAUGACAGGAUGGGGGAAAAAAAGCGGGUGCACAUGCCGUAUAAAUAACGUUAUCUAGAAAGUUUUUAUAUUUUACUUUUUUACGUUACAACAUAAGUUUCUGUAAAUACUUGAAAAUGAAAAAAAUGUUACAAUAUACAAAAUAAAAUAUUUCCAUUUUUAUUAAAUAAUUGAAUGCAAUUAAUUAUGGUAAUCAGAUUGUAUAAGCACAUACAUUUAUGCAGGUGUACUGAAACGUUUGACUUUCACUGUAUAAUAUAGCCCAGUGCAAGUGAUGUUUUAGAAUCAAGUCAAAUUAAUUUAUACAAUUUUGCUUGAUCACUUAAACAGUCAAAACUAGAAUCAUAUAGAAAGUCGCAUGUGUGUGUGUUGCAGACUGUUGACGCCAUGUGGAAGGAAAAAACAUUAAAAAAUUGUUACCGUUACAGAUUCAGCCCCUAGAAUUAACAAAUUCUUCCUACAAGCACAUGAUUUGAGACCAAUUCGGGCAGAAACCCUUUUCACUACAUUCAUUGUGGAAGACAACUUGCCGUUAGCUGCUGCAGAUCAUGCCGUGAUGCUAAAGCUUGUGAACUAAACGUUACAACUAUUCUGGUACUCAAAAUAUUUUCCCAAGGUUGGCAGGUCUGUACGUGUAUAAAGUCCUGAAGCAGGUUCAUCCUGACACCGGUGUCUCCUCCAAGGCGAUGGGAAUCAUGAACUCUUUCGUCAACGACAUCUUCGAGCGCAUCGGCGGUGAAGCGUCUCGUCUCGCUCACUACAACAAGUGCUCCACCAUCACAUCGAGAGAGAUCCAGACCGCCGUGCGUCUGCUGCUGCCCGGUGAACUGGACAAACACACCGUGUCUGAGGCACAAAGACCGUCACCAAAUACACCAGCUCCAAGUGGUUUUCUAUCCCGAUUAGAUCUCCACAAGAAUGGAAUGUCAGUCUUUGGUACAGAUGAAUCAAGUUUAGGGGUUUGGAGUUGGACUUCAGGGGCAGGCAUAUCAGAAGAUAACGUUUUAGGAGGUGGCAUAUCAACAGAGGGCAUUUCAGAAGACUGCAUUUCUAGAGAUGGCAUCUCAAAGGUUGGCUCAUCCAAGGGAGACAGUUCCAUGUUUGACUGUUCCUGACAUAUUUCUGCAGUCUUAAUCAAACUCCGUCAAUUUCUCCGUAAGGUCUGCGCAUCUUCUGUUUGAACAAGAUAUGAUCUUGGAUUUACCUACUUUAGGACUGUAGCUUUCUUUCUCCAUCCAAUAGGCUCCUCAACUCUCACCACAUCUCAUUCAGAAAGAGGUUUCAGUUGCCGAGCUCCUUUAUCAUAGUAUUCUUUCUGCUUCCCUCUAAGGUGUUGCAUCUCUUACAAUGGCAAACUUUUGUUCUCUUUUCAGGGAUAAUUUUGGCAAUGUGUCACACAGUUUACGAUUCAUCAGUAAUUCCGCAGGAGAUAAUCCACAACAAUUGAGUGGGGAGGAAUGGUAACUCAACAUAGCCAAAUAUUCAUCAGAAUUGCUUGCAGCUGCUUUUUCAAGUCUUUUUACAAUUUGUACCCCUUUGUCUGCUUUGCCAUUUGCCUUUGGAUAGAGGGGGCUAGAAGUAGUAUGCUUAAAGCCAUAUUGUUCUGCAAACAGCCUGAAUUUACGACUACUAUACUGAGGACCGUUACCACUUUGCACAACAUGAGGAAUUCCAUGCCUUGCAAAAAUGCAUUUCAUGUGAUUAAUCACGUCGUUCGUUGUUGUAUGACGGAGCUGUUCAAUUUCAGGAUAAUUGGAAUAAUCGAUAACUACUAAAAGAUCCUUAACAUUCAACUGGAAAAGAUCAGUUACUACUUUUUGCCAUGAUUAAGCACAUCAGCUAUCAACAUGUGUUCUUUAGCCAGUUUAUAAUGAUGGCUCAAACAGACAUCACACUUACUGAUUAGUUCCUCAAUGUGCUCAUUAAUUCGAAGCCAAUAACAGCUUGUUUUGCUCUUCUCUUGCAUUUUUCAAUGCCAAGAUGCCCCUCAUGAAGCAUAUCUUGGAGUAUUGACAUGGGAAUGACAAUUCUGUUUUUUUGCAACAGCAUGCCAUUAACCACACUCAGUUCUGCCCUCAUUGGAAAAUACUGUGGACACUUGCCUUUUAUCCAUCCUUGCUGAAGAUGAGCAAUCACCCUCUACAGUUCAGCAUCUUCAGCAGUUUCCUCCGCAAUGAGUCUUAACAUUUCAUCCGAGACUGGUAAAGAUGAAACCACCAUACUCACAUGUCCUUCCACUUCUUCUGCUAUAUUGCUGAUCUCUGAAGCUACUGGUGCUUGAGACAGUGCAUCAGCCAUGAUGAUGUACUUCCCAGGUGUAUACACUAGAUUCAGGUCAUAUCUUUGUAAUUUCAUCAUCAUGUGUUGAAUUCUAGGUGACAUAUCAUUUAAGUUCUUUUGAAUAAUUGAUAUCAAUGGUUUAUGAUCUGUCUCUACUGUAAAAGUAGGUAAUCCAUAAACAUAUCCAUGGAUUUAUCACAGCCAAAUACUAAACCCAAGGUCCCUUUUUCUAUUUGAGAGUAAUGUUUUUCAGUAUCUGUCAUAGAUCGAGAAGCCUGAAGAAGCACAGCCCCCAAUCCAUCCUGAGAGGCAUCUGUAGAGAUCUUAGUUGGGCAUGUGUGAUUAAAAAAAUAAAAUAAAAUAAAUUUACAGGUGGUAAUUUUCAGUGGUAAGGAUCUCCUUCAACCCCUUCCAUUCUUAAUCAAGUACGGGAGCCCACACAAACUCUUUGUCAUUUUGUAACAACUUUCUCAUAUGUGUGGUUUUAGCUGAAAGAUUUGGCAGAAAUUUUCCUAGGAAAUUUACCAUACCUAAGGCACGCAGAACCCCCUUUUUGUCACUAGGUGGAGGCAUAUCAAGGAGGACUUGUACUUUAUCUGAAUGUGGCUCCACUCCUUUUGCAGACAGCUUGUCACCUAAGAAUGUUAUCUCUGUGACUUCAACCUGACACUUUGUCUUGUUUGGCUUUAGAUCAUGUGCACAAAUUCUCUCCAUCAGUUUUAAUAGUCGCUGAUUAUGUUGUUGAAGGGUAGACCCACACACCACAAGAUCAUCAAUAUAUACGUGAACACCCUCUAGUCUAGACCUUCAAUAAGGGUUUCCAUGGCUCGAUGAAAAAUCUUGGAAGCUGAAUUGAUCCCAAAUGGAAGUCGAAGAAAACCAUGUCUUCCAAAGGGAGUAUUAAAUGUACAAUAUUUGCUACUUUCAGAAUCCAUUCGGAUCUGCCAGAACCCAUGAGAUGCAUCUAAUUUACUAAAAAACUUGGCACCCGACAUUUCACUAAUGAUCUCUUCACAGGUGGGUAUCUGGUAUUGUUCUCUUUUGAUGUUAUCGUUAAGGUCUUUAGGAUCUAAGCACACUCUUAAUUCACCAUUAGACUUUUUCACAAGUUAUGGAGUUUACCCAAUCUGUAGGUUGUUCAAUCCAUUGUAUGACUCCUGUGUCAUGCGAUCCAAUUCUUGCCUCAAGUUGUCUCGCAGAGGUGCAGGCACCCACCGAGGAGCAUGUAUGACUGGUGUAGCAUCACCUUUCAGUUGUAUUUUACAAGUAAAUGGCAAUGUUCCUUGACCUUCAAAAACAUCUGGAAAUUGUUUCACAAUGUCAGUAGCAUUGUCACAGUCUGUAAGGCUACAGUUUCCUUGUUGACUUGAUGCACUCUUUUAACCAACUGAAGGUCUUUACAAGCUCUAUCUCCUAGAAGAGAUUCAUAGCCAUUGGGAACUACAACAAACAUCAUAUUUUGCUUCUUUCCUUUUACCUAUAUUUUUAGUCUACAUACUCCUUGUGUUUCAAUUGGUUGUCCAUUGUAGGCUUUGAGGGGAACUGUGCGUUUUUGAAAGACAUCUUUCUUUCAAUGCUUUCACAUCCUUGAUGUUAAUUAAGCUAACUUUUGCACCAGUUUCUAAUUUAAAAAGUACUAUUGUCCCAUUAGCCACAAGAGGAACAAUCCACUUGCAGGACUUCACUGAAUCCUCACUGGAUACACAUUUUGCAUCAUCCUGAUUUGUAUCCUGCUUGGAAACCAUCUGCACAUAAAAAGAAUCACUCAAGGUAUCACUAUCAUCUGCAUCAUCCACUACAUACACUUUAUUUUCCAUCUUAAUCUCUUUUGAAAAGCACAUUUUUGCUAAGUGAUUCGGGCCAUUACACUUAGAACACCUUUUACCGAUGGCAGGGCACUGUCUGAAUUUAUGUUUGGUCCCACAACGUUUGCAAGGAAAUGUGUCGUUGUCAUUACCUCUAAUACUUCUUGAGUUACCUCGUUUCUUGUCUCUAAAUGAAAUGGCAUUUACUGCUGUGUUCUGAGAUGACAUCGCUGAAGAAUUAGCCACAUCAAACUGCAUCACUUGCUGUGUCGCUAAUUCACUGGAUUGGCACAAUUUGACAGCAUAAUCCAAGCAUCCACUUGUCCAACAGUGGCAACAUACAACUCAAACUGCUGUUUGAAAGUCCUCCAAUUUGUAUCAACAUUUCCACACAACUUCAGCGACCCCUGUGGUUUAAUUGUCCAUGGUGUUCUUUUGGCCCCACUCCUGGAACCAUGUAUUGUUCAGUAGACAACAAAUAAAGAGAAAAGGAUUGCUGGUGCUGGCGUCUUUAUUCCACGUGGAACACACAUCAUAUACAAAUUACCACACCUGCUUCCUCAGCAAAUGCACUUAACUCUAUACAAUCCAUUACUGCCACCUGCUGGACAAACACAUUACUCAUUACUAAUAGACUACUCAUACAUUCAUGUUAAACAUGUAUUUAAAUUAAUAUGUGUCAUUAAUGUUCCUUUUAUUAGGCUACUAUGAACAUUUUUAAUACUUUAUUAUUAUUCUAACUAAUAAACUAAUUCAUAAUACACAAUAAACUGUUAAGCAUUGUAGCUAAUAUGAGCAGUAAUGUUCACAUUAACACAUAUACACUAUAUUGCCAAAAGUAUUCGCUCACCCAUCCAAAUAAUUGAAUUCAGGUGUUCCAAUCACUUCCAUGGCCGCAGGUGUAUAAAAUGAAGCACCUAGGCAUGCUGACUGCUUCUACAAACAUUUGUGAAAGAAUGGGCCGCUCUCAGGAGCUCAGUGAAUUCCAGCGUGGUACUGUGAUAGGAUGCCACCUGUGCAACAAGUCCAGUCGUGAAAUUUCCUCGCUACUAAAUAUUCCACAGUCAACUGUCAGUGAUAUUAUAACAAAGUGGAAGCGAUUGGGAAUGACAGCAACUCAGCCAUGAAGUGGUAGGCCACGUAAAAUGACAGAGCGGGGUCAGCGGAUGCUGAGGCGCAUAGUGCCAACUUUCUGUAGAGUCAAUCACUACAGACCUCCAAAGUUCAUGUGGCCUUCAGAUUAGCUCAAGAACAGUGCGUAGGGAGCUUCAUGGAAUGGGUUUCCAUGGCUGAGCAGCUGCAUCCAAGCCAUACAUCACCAAGUGCAAUGCAAAGCGUCGGAUGCAGUGGUGUAAAGCACACCGCCACUGGACUCUAGAGCAGUGGAGAC